CAGCCGCCACGGUAAGACGGAGGGUGCUAGCGUUGUUCGGAAUCACUGGGCGUAAAGGGCGCGUAGGCGGCCUGUUAAGUCGGAUGUGAAAGCCCGGGGCUCAACCCCGGAACUGCAUCCGAGACUGGCAGGCUUGAGACCGGGAGAGGAGGGUGGAAUAUCCAGUGUAGAGGUGAAAUUCGUAGAUAUUGGAUGGAACACCGGUGGCGAAAGCGGCUCUCUGGCCCGGAUCUGACGCUGAGGCGCGAAAGCGUGGGGAGCAAACAGGAUUAGAUACCCCGGUAGUCCCUGUCUCUUAUAC
rnacentral:rRNA from 1 species